GGGCUUGCAGGGGGUGAACACCUCAUCACAGAUGUAUUAACAGGAGGAUGCAAGACACAGGGGGUCCCUGCUGUGUUCAACCUCUGUAGCAAAGCCUGCCAGUUAUAACCAAGGAUGUAGUAGUUUGUGACAUGCACAAAUGGAGAUCAGCAGAAGCUCCCAUGCUUCUCUUCACUUGACUCCUAAACCAACACCUGAAUCCAGGUCUCCAAAGACAGCGAGUGUUCAUCUAGCAUAAACAGUAAAUAUUUCAUCUCAAAAGUGACCUUGGAGACAUGCAGCUGAAAUGAAAACAAUGUUUAAUUGCAGUGGGAUUGAGUCACGCUUUAACGGAGCUGACACUGAGAGGAAGGUUUUGCAGUGUUUCCUUAAACUGGAUUUCCUCUGGAUUUGUCUGAUCUCCUCUUGGAGUUUGUUCCAUUGACUGAAAAAAAAAUGCUUUGUUCUAGCUCUUA